rnacentral:rRNA from 1 species
CCUACGGGAGGCAGCAGUCGAGAAUCAUUCACAAUGGGGGAAACCCUGAUGGUGCGACGCCGCGUGGGGGAAUGAAGGUCUUCGGAUUGUAAACCCCUGUCAUGUGGGAGCAAAUUAAAAAGAUAGUACCACAAGAGGAAGAGACGGCUAACUCUGUGCCAGCAGCUGCGGUAAUACAGAGGUCUCAAGCGUUGUUCGGAAUCACUGGGCGUAAAGGGUGCGUAGGCUGUUUCGUAAGUCGUGUGUGAAAGGCGCGGGCUCAACCCGCGGACGGCACAUGAUACUGCGAGACUAGAGUAAUGGAGGGGGAACCGGAAUUCUCGGUGUAGCAGUGAAAUGCGUAGAUAUCGAGAGGAACACUCGUGGCGAAGGCGGGUUCCUGGACAUUAACUGACGCUGAGGCACGAAGGCCAGGGGAGCGAAAGGGAUUAGAUACCCGAGUAGUC